UACGUAGGGUGCGAGCGUUGUCCGGAAUUAUUGGGCGUAAAGGGCUCGUAGGCGGUUUGUCGCGUCGGGAGUGAAAACCCAGGGCUUAACCCUGGGCUGGCUUCCGAUACGGGCAGACUAGAGGUAUGCAGGGGAGAACGGAAUUCCUGGUGUAGCGGUGAAAUGCGCAGAUAUCAGGAGGAACACCGGUGGCGAAGGCGGUUCUCUGGGCAUUACCUGACGCUGAGGAGCGAAAGUGUGGGGGAGCGAACAGG
rnacentral:rRNA from 1 species